rnacentral:lncRNA from 1 species
AAAUAUCUUCCCGAAGAAGUUUGAUCUGAUACAAGACUGAAAUUAUGGUGUAGCCUACAUUAUAUUAUUAAAUUGUAUUAUUACUAGAGCAACGAUUAAGUAAUUUGGAUCGGACCAAUGAUACAAAAUCAGUCCUAUAAAUUGCACAAGUCAGAUGAGGCACUUUCUUAUUGCAUUGCUAGUUACAUGUAAGAUUGACAUGUACCUAGGGUUGAAAGCGGUCGAACUCGGUCGAGAUAACCCCAAUACCGUUUUCACUUUUACAUUUCAAUACGAAAACAAAAUCGAAUUCGGGAAGGUCAGAAACGAACACGAAAAUGAACUAACGAGAUAUCGAAAACGAACUAAUUCGAUCGGGAACAUGUCGAACACGGUCGGAAUAGGAAAAGCAAAAUGGAAACACCGACUCGUAGAACCUAGUUGAGCAUGACAAGUUGACAACAUGCCAACAGUCCGGUACCGACACAACCACAUAUGGUCAUGCACAAUUCACUUGUACACAUACAUUGAUACACAAAUCACCAAUUCACCAUAACAAUUGAUAAAUAGGCAACAUGUCUAAAUAGCAUAAGGGCGUAACAUAUUGUCAGAGUCACACAGACUGACAGAACACCACCAUAGUCCAUAUACCAUAGCUCCAAUCCAGGAUCCCAGCUGAAGAGCAUAGCACAAAAGCAGCAAAGCACAAGUUUUGACUACAACUAAAAUAUAAUUAUUUAGAGCCAUUUGGACUAGCCAACAGGUUAUAUUUCAGCAGCACUUUCCAUGGCAUCUGGAUCACUUCCCAUGUCUUCUAGUUCCUCAGUGUCCCAUUCAUUCCCCUCAUUGAUUUCUUCAUGCUGCAAGUUGGCAAGUUGCCAUUGUGAAGAAAAGCAGUAUAACAGUCAGUAAGGAUCAAUGAAAGGACUAACAAGUAAU